GACGAACGCUGGCGGCGUGCUUAACACAUGCAAGUCGAGCGGAGCGGCGAACGGGUGAGUAACACGUGGGUGACCUGCCCUGCACUUCGGGAUAAGCCUGGGAAACUGGGUCUAAUACCGGAUAGUGUGGGAUGGGCCCUCGGCCUAUCAGCGUGUUGGUGGGGUAAUGGGCGACCAAGGCGGCGACGGGUAGCCGGCAUGGGGGGGGGGAGGGGCACAUUGUGACUACGACACGGCGCAGACUGCUACGGGGGGCAGCAGUGGGGAAUAUUGCACAGUGGGCGGGAGCGUGAUGCAGCGACGCCGGGGUGGGGAUGACGGCCUUCGGGUUGUAAACUCCUUUCACCAUCGACGCGGUAGAUGGAGAAGAAGCACCGGCUAACUACGUGCCAGCAGCCGCGGUAAUAC
rnacentral:rRNA from 1 species